GACGAACGCUGACGGCGUGCUUAACACAUGCAAGUCGAAGGGAGUGGCGAACGGGUGAGUAACACGUGAGUAACCUGCCCUUUUCUUUGGAAUAAGCCUGGGAAACUGGGUCAAAUACUGGAUGGGUUGGGAUGGGGUCGCGGCGUAUCAGCUUGUUGGUGGGGGGAUGGCUUGCCAAGGCUUUGACGGGUAGCCGGCCUGAGAGGGUGGUCGGUCACACUGAGACUGAGAUGACGCCCAGACUCGUACGGGAGGGAGCAGUGGGGGAUAUUGCGCAAUGGACGAAAGUCUGAUGCAGCGACGUCGUGUGGGGGACGAAGGCCGUCGGGUUGUAAAGUCCUUUCGCCAGCGGAAUGGUAGUGGGUAAAGAAGCGCCGGCUAACUACGUGCCAGCAGCCGCGGUAAUAC
rnacentral:rRNA from 1 species